UACAGAGGGGGCAAGCGUUGUUCGGAAUUACUGGGCGUAAAGGGCGCGUAGGCGGCCUUCUAAGUCGAACGUGAAAUCCCCGGGCUCAACCCGGGAACUGCGUCCGAGACUGAAAGGCUUGAAUCCGGGAGAGGGAUGUGGAAUUCCAGGUGUAGCGGUGAAAUGCGUAGAUAUCUGGAGGAACACCGGUGGCGAAGGCGACAUCCUGGACCGGUAUUGACGCUGAGGCGCGAAAGCCAGGGGAGCAAACGGG
rnacentral:rRNA from 1 species